rnacentral:tRNA from 1 species
GGAAGUGGCGCAACUGGUAGCGCAACGGUCUCCAAAACCGUAGGUUGUGGGUUCGAGUCCCGCCUUCCC